GUGCACCAGGCGCGAAAACUUCACACUGUGCGAAAGCACGAUGAGGGGAUCCCAAGUGCUUGCACGUAAGUGUAAGCUGUUUCUCUGUCUAAAACGCAGAGAGAGUAAGGGCUGGGUAAGACGGGUGCCAGCCGCCGCGGUAAUACCUGCAGCUCAAGUGGUGACCGUUAUUAUUGGGCCUAAAACGUCCGUAGCCGGUUUAAUAAAUGCCUGGGUAAAUUGUGUAGCUUAACUAUACGAAUUCCGGGUAGACUGUUAAACUUGAGACCGGGAGAAGUUAGAGGUACUCCUGGGGUAGAGGUGAAAUUCUGUAAUCCUAGGGGGACCACCAGUGGCGAAGGCGUCUAACUAGAACGGGUCUGACGGUGAGGGACGAAGCCCUGGGGCGCAAACGGGGAUUAGAUACCCGGGUAGU
rnacentral:rRNA from 1 species